CAAUAGCGUAUAUUAAAGUUGUUGCGGUUAAAAGCUCGUAGUUGGACUUCUGUUGAAAACAACCGGUCCAGACGAUGUCUGUGUAUCUGGCUUGGUUUCGGCAUCUGCUCGAAAUACGUUGCUGCGCUUGAUUGCGUGGUGCGGAGUUCGGGUCUUUUACUUUGAGGAAAUUAGAGUGUUCACGGCAGGCCUGCGCCCUGAAUAUAUUAGCAUGGAAUAAUAAUAUAGGAUCUCGGUUCUAUUUUGUUGGUUUCUAGGAUUGAGAUAAUGAUUAAUAGGGACAAUUGGGGGCGAUUCGUAUCAUGAUGUCAGAGGUGGAAUUCUUGGAUUAUCAUGCGACGAACUACUGCGAAAGCAUUUGCCAAGGAUGUUUUCAUUGAUCAAGAACGAAAGUAAGGGGAUCGAAGACGAUCAGAUACCAU
rnacentral:rRNA from 1 species